rnacentral:rRNA from 2 species
GAGAUUAGCGGCGGACGGGUGAGUAACACGUGGGCAACCUGCCUAUAAGACUGGGAUAACUUCGGGAAACCGGAGCUAAUACCGGAUACGUUCUUUUCUCGCAUGAGAGAAGAUGGAAAGACGGUUUACGCUGUCACUUAUAGAUGGGCCCGCGGCGCAUUAGCUAGUUGGUGAGGUAAUGGCUCACCAAGGCGACGAUGCGUAGCCGACCUGAGAGGGUGAUCGGCCACACUGGGACUGAGACACGGCCCAGACUCCUACGGGAGGCAGCAGUAGGGAAUCUUCCGCAAUGGACGAAAGUCUGACGGAGCAACGCCGCGUGAACGAAGAAGGCCUUCGGGUCGUAAAGUUCUGUUGUUAGGGAAGAACAAGUACCAGAGUAACUGCUGGUACCUUGACGGUACCUAACCAGAAAGCCACGGCUAACUACGUGCCAGCAGCCGCGGUAAUACGUAGGUGGCAAGCGUUGUCCGGAAUUAUUGGGCGUAAAGCGCGCGCAGGUGGUUCCUUAAGUCUGAUGUGAAAGCCCACGGCUCAACCGUGGAGGGUCAUUGGAAACUGGGGAACUUGAGUGCAGAAGAGGAAAGUGGAAUUCCAAGUGUAGCGGUGAAAUGCGUAGAGAUUUGGAGGAACACCAGUGGCGAAGGCGACUUUCUGGUCU